rnacentral:tRNA from 1 species
GCCCCCUUAGCUCAGAGGCUAGAGCACCGCAUUUGUAAUGCGAUGGUCAUUGAUUUGAUUCCGAUAGCCGGUU